rnacentral:rRNA from 1 species
GCAUAUCAUAAGCGGAGGAAAAAGGACUAACAAGGAUUCCCCUAGUAACUGCGAGUGAAGCGGGAAAAGCUCAAAUUUAAAAUCUGGCGGUCUUUGGCCGUCCGAGUUGUAAUCCUAGAGAAGUGUUACCCGCGUCGGACCGUGUACAAGUCUCCCUGGAAUGGAGCGUCAUAGAGGGUGAGAAUCCCGUCUUUGACACGGACUACCGAGGCUUUGUGGUGCGCUCUCAAAGAGUCGAGUUGUUUGGGAAUGCAGCUCAAAAUGGGUGGUAAAUUCCAUCUAAAGCUAAAUAUUGGCGAGAGACCGAUAGCGAACAAGUACCGUGAGGGAAAGAUGAAAAGAACUUUGGAAAGAGAGUUAAACAGUACGUGAAAUUGCUGAAAGGGAAACGCUUGAAGUCAGUCGCGUCGUCCGGGAAUCAGCCUUCCUUCGGGUUGGUGUACUUCCUGGUCGACGGGCCAGCAUCAGUUUUGACCGGUGGAAAAAGUUCGAGGGAAUGUGGCACCUCCGGGUGUGUUAUAGCCCUCGUUCGUAUGCAUCGAUUGGGACUGAGGAACUCAGCACGCCGCAAGGCCGGGAUUCGUCCACGUUCGUGCUUAGGAUGCUGGCAUAAUGGCUUUAAUCGACCCGUCUUGAAACACGGACCAAGGAGUCUAACAUGCCUGCGAGUGUUUGGGUGGUAAACCCGAGCGCGUAAUGAAAGUGAAAGUUGAGAUCCCUGUCAUGGGGAGCAUCGACGCCCGGACCAGACGUUUUCUGACGGUUCUGCGGUAGAGCAUGUAUGUUGGGACCCGAAAGAUGGUGAACUAUGCCUGAAUAGGGUGAAGCCAGAGGAAACUACUGGUGGAGGCUCGUAGCGAUUCUGACGUGCAAAUCGAUCGUCAAAUUUGGGUAUAGGGGCGAAAGACUAAUCGAACCCAUCUAGUAGCUGGUUCCUGGCCGAAG